GGCCAUGUGGCUGAGUGGUAAAGCGCUUAGCUUCCGAACCUAGGGGUCCUGGGUUCGAGUCCUGGUAAAGACU
rnacentral:tRNA from 1 species